rnacentral:rRNA from 1 species
GACGAACGCUGGCGGCGUGCUUAACACAUGCAAGUCGAACGGAAAGGCCCUGCUUUUGUGGGGUGCUCGAGUGGCGAACGGGUGAGUAACACGUGAGUAACCUGCACUUGACUUUGGGAUAACUUCAGGAAACUGGGGCUAAUACCGGAUAGGAGCUCCUGCUGCAUGGUGGGGGUUGGAAAGUUUCGGCGGUUGGGGAUGGAUUCGCGGCUUAUCAGCUUGUUGGUGGGGUAGUGGCUUACCAAGGCUUUGACGGGUAGCCGGCCUGAGAGGGUGACCGGCCACAUUGGGACUGAGAUACGGCCCAGACUCCUACGGGAGGCAGCAGUGGGGAAUAUUGCACAAUGGGCGGAAGCCUGAUGCAGCAACGCCGCGUGCGGGAUGACGGCCUUCGGGUUGUAAACCGCUUUCGCCUGUGACGAAGCGUGAGUGACGGUAAUGGGUAAAGAAGCACCGGCUAACUACGUG